rnacentral:sRNA from 1 species
UGAGAAGAGCGUUAAGAGGGGCUUGGAU